rnacentral:sRNA from 1 species
AUGACAGUGAUGAAGACGGAAGUCCUCCAUCACAAAGUACAGGUAGUGGCAGUACAAACUUCCAAACACUGUCCCACAAUGUGCCUCCACCCUGACCACCUGUAAGAAUAUGGUUCUGUGCCUUUAUACAAUAAACCGUAGAUCAUU